rnacentral:rRNA from 1 species
GACGAACGCUGGCGGCGUGCUUAACACAUGCAAGUCGAACGGUAAGGGCCUGCUGUUGUGGGGUGCUCGAGUGGCGAACGGGUGAGUAACACGUGAGUGACCUGCCCUGGACGUUGGGAUAACGUCAGGAAACUUGGGCUAAUACAGGAUAUGAGCUCCAGAGGCAUGGUGGGGCUGGGAUAGUUUCGGCGGAUGGGGCUGGAGUCGCGGCUUAUCAGCUUGUGGGUGGGGGAGUGGCUUACCAAGGCUUUGACGGGUAGCCGGCCUGAGAGCGUGAACGCGCACCUUGGGACUGCGAUACGGCCCAGAGUCGUACGGGAGGCAGCGGUGGAGAACAUUGCCCAAUGGGCCGAAGCGUAAUGCAGAAGCGCCGCGGGCGUGAUGACCGCCUUCGGGUUGUGAAAAGCCUUUGCCUGUGAAGAAGCGUGCAUGACGGUACUGUGUGAAGAAGCACCGGCUAACUACGUG